rnacentral:lncRNA from 1 species
ACACAAAAACGCAGUAAAAAGCAGAGGCUCUGAUCCAGCUUUGCUGCCUGGAAAAAGAAUGACUGUCAUAGACAACAAAGUUCUGGAUCUCGUCGACAAGGUAUUCUCAUUCUUCAACCAAAGCAUGGCCACGGUUUUGAAUGGGCUGCUGCAUCCUCUGCCAGGGUGUGAUGCAGCAUCUGGAUUCUACUUGCUUCCGUGCAUGAAAUCACAUCCAAGAACAAUCCAGGGAACAGAAUCCAUUUGAGAUAAAGAAGACACCUUUCAUAUCAGUAACUGGAAGACAGUCAAGGAAACCUCUCUGAGAUCCUGCAUGGAGCCCCACAUACAGCUUCCUGUUCCACUGGAAUCAGAGGCAGUUGGGGGAAAGUCUCAAAUCAUCACAUGGAGAAACAACCUCUACUACUUUUAAAUUCUUCUGAAGUGACUAACUUGAUGGUUGGAUAUGUGCUUCACACAUGUUCAGCAUUACAGUAGAGUAAUAAAUAACUAUGUUGUAAAGAUUUCCAAGGAUCAGCUUCUGCACUGCAUAGUUAUUAAUAAACCAAUAAAAUGUAAUUUAUUUCUCUUUGA